CCUACGGGAGGCAGCAGUGAGGAAUAUUGGACAAUGGGCGCAAGCCUGAUCCAGCCAUGCCGCGUGCAGGAAGAAGCAUCUAUGGUGUGUAAACUGCUUUUGUACAGGAAGAAACACUCCCUCGUGAGGGAGCUUGACGGUACUGUAAGAAUAAGGACCGGCUAACUCCGUGCCAGCAGCCGCGGUAAUACGGAGGGUCCGAGCGUUAUCCGGAAUCAUUGGGUUUAAAGGGUCCGUAGGCGGUUUAAUAAGUCAGUGGUGAAAUCUGGUCGCUCAACGAUCAAACGGCCAUUGAUACUGUUAGACUUGAAUUAUAAGGAAGUAACUAGAAUAUGUAGUGUAGCGGUGAAAUGCUUAGAUAUUACAUGGAAUACCAAUUGCGAAGGCAGGUUACUACUUAUGGAUUGACGCUGAUGGACGAAAGCGUGGGGAGCGAACAGGAUUAGAUACCCUGGUAGUCCACGCCGUAAACGAUGGAUACUAGCUGUUCGGAGCAAUCUGAGUGGCUAAGCGAAAGUGAUAAGUAUCCACCUGGGGAGUAACGUUCGCAAGAAGUAGAAGUUACAANAGAGUUAGAGGCGNGAGAGNGCGACGGACGACGACGAGGGAGGAGG
rnacentral:rRNA from 1 species